UGUUGAAUUUUUCAAUUCUCACUUGGUAAGGGCCUAGAAGUUUUAGAGUGCGUCAUUGCGGCUGAGUGGUCUUCAUUGGAGUAGCAGGUUUAGGUUUUCUAAUUGGGCGAGCAG
rnacentral:sRNA from 1 species